UAAAUUUUGAAUGCAUUUUAUUAUCUGUGCAUAAGUGUUUAUUAUUUUUCAUUUAGGUUUUAAUUCCAGUUUUUGCUCUGGGUCAUACUCAAGAGAUGUGUAUUCUUCUUGAAAUUUACUAAGAGAAGAUGAAUCUUAAAAUACCCAUAUAUUUUGCUGUUGGUCUACUGAAAAAGCUACCACCUUUUGUAAGAUGUUCAUAAUUUGGACCAACAAAAAAAUCAAGAAAGUAUUUGUGCACCGUAAUAUGUUUGAUUUCAAACACAUCAAUCCUUUGACCGUGCUUAUAUAGAUAAUCCUGGUACUAUGGUUGUUUUUGAAACUGCAGGAAUGUUGCACUCUGGAUUAUCUGUUCAAAUAUUCAAAAUGAAAAUAACAUGGUUAGUGCUUUAUUUGUUUAUUUAUUUUUGUUUAUAAAUAUUAGUAAACAUAAUCUCAAUGGUCAUAUAUAUCAGAAUCAUUUUUCUUAAUCAUUAAAGUUCAAGUAUAACUCUUCAUUCCAUGUAACAUGUUUUUAUUUGUUGUGGUUCUACAAGGUUCAUUUGUAAAAUGAAGAAACUAUAGUGAAAUAAAUUAAUUAUCAGAAUAUUAUUAAAUAUUCAUAUUAAUUUUAUACUUAUGAAAAAAGGCUAACAAAUAAUAGCAGAAUGCACCGGAGUAUAUUUUCUACUAGCAGGCCAUAUUUUAAUCACCAUUCAAUUUAUUUAGUUGCCUUGUGAUCAGGGGUGACUAUUAAUUUUGUCCUAAACUCUCAAGUCACAAAAAAUAAAAAAGUUAAAAAAAAAGAAAAUUGGAAUUUCAAAAUUGUUGCAAUUUUUGAAAUGAAUAGUAUGUACUAAAAUU
rnacentral:lncRNA from 1 species